GGGAGGGAGGGAGGGAGAGCGAGGAAGGGGGGAGAAGGAGAGAGGAGAGAGGAUCGAAAUGAGCAGUGCGCUCUCAGAGAAUUAGCCCUCAGCCUCACAGCACCAAGGUCUGGAUCCCAUUACAGGAUGAAGCGGCAGCCGCAGCCCUGCACGUCCGGGCCCUGAGGAAGCCUGCGUCACCCCCAUACGCGCCGCCAUCAGCCAGCCUUAGUCCCUUCACCUCUCCCGCCAGCUGUGCCUAUAACCUCCUAGACUUCGCCACUCAGCGUUCCCUUCCCUCCCUCCGGCCCGCCCCCACCCCUCCCCUUCGGCGCUCGUUCGCGUUGGCCCCCCCCUACCCUGGCCCACGCUCUCCAGCCAUGGACGGACUGCGCCUGCCGCCAGUCAUAGAGGAGGCUGUGGACCCAGUAGACGACACAAGUGACCUGAAGACAGACAAACCCAGCAUGGAGAACGAACUGACCACCAAGGAGAAGGAGGCGCUGGAGGAGAACGAUGAGAAGGAGGAGAAGGAGGCAGAAGCCGGCGACGGAGAGAAGGAGGUGAUGGAGGAGAAGGCUGAGGAGGUGGCCGAGCAGAAGGACGAGGUGGAGGCUGCUGACAAGGAGAAGGCGCCGCUCUCUGAGGAACAAGAGCUGGAGGAGCUGAGGUCCCAGGUGCUCCAGCUGCUACUCGAGCUGGAGGAGGCACGGGAGGUGUCCCAGAAGCAUGAGGAAAGCUUCCAUGAGCUACAGGGUCUCCUGGAGGAAGAACGUCUGGCAAGCGCUCACCAGGCUGAGGCUUUCACACGACAGAUCCAAAGACUGCAAGCCCAGCUGCGCUCUGUGCAGGAGGAGAUGGACAGCCUGGAGGAGGAGAAGGAGAGUGAGCUGGCUGAAGCCCAGGAGGAGCUGCGCGCAGCCCAGGAGGAGGUGCUGGUGCUUCAGCAGGCAGCGGAGGAAGCAGCGGCCGAGCGGGAGAACGACAUUGCCAGCCUGCAGGAGGAGCUGUGCCGGCUGCGGGCUGAGCUACAGCGGCUGCGUGCCACCACGCAGGAGUACGAGCUGGAGAUCACCACGCUGCGGGCUGAGAUCACCAUGAAGAGCCAGCGCAGGGAGGAGGAGCGGAACCAGGGUGAUGUGGGCCAGCUGAAGGAGGAGUGUCGUGUGCUGAAGGACGAGUGUCAGACCCUGAAAGAUGAAAACAGGAAGCUGUCAGAGCGGCUGCAGCUGCUACAACUGCAAAGGACUGGCUCCAAUGAUGUGUGUCUGACCCUGAAGGAGGAGAGCGAUGCGGAGGCCAGCGACAAGGAGGAAGCUGAGAUCGGCAUGGUUGCAACCCAAACCAACUGCCGCCUUGUGGACGCCUCCAUCCAGAAGAACAUCUCAUUUGACGGGAAGCCCGUGACCCCCACUAGCUGGCACGGGGGCUUUACUGAGAUCUUUUCUCUGCGGGACCAGCUCAAACAGGCUGAGGAGAGGGCCUCACAGGUGCAGCGGGAGUGCGAGGGUCUGAAGGAGGAGCUUAAGGAGCUGCAGGCCCUGUGCGACAGCAGCCAGCGGGAGCGUGAGGACCUGGAGAAGGAGCUGCAGAGCUGCCGAGCGGAGCUGGAGAGGCUGACGGGGAAGGCGACGCAGGAAUGAUUGUUAUAGUGGCCCUGAUUUGGUGCUGGUGGUCGGAGCUGUCAUCCUAAGAGGGGACCAGGGGAGCGAGGGAGGAUGGAACCCAGUGCUGGUGGUUGCUGUGGCAGCUGCUGUACUGCUGAUUGUCCCCAGCUUGUCCAGGGCUUUCUCCUGAGGACCUCGAUGGUAGUGGCCACACCACCGCAUUGGUACGCUCCCCCCUUCAAGCCCCCCUAGUCAUCACACCCCUUGAGGUCCUCUCAUCACACUACACUCCCUGCUUUAUCCACCUCAGUGGAGGAGGGCCAUCUCAAACUCCAUUUUUGAUAAGAACCGGGACAAGACGAAACCCCAAAGCUUCCAAGAAGGAUGGAAUAAGGAGGAACUCUGGGUUAAAAAAGGUCAGCAGAUUGACCUGACUGCUAACUGGCUGGGGGACCCAAGGUGGUCAAAGCAUUGUUUCUAGGCACAGGAUUCGGAAGGGAGAUGUGGACCAGUGUAAAGGGAGAGGUGGAUGUCUACAGGCGGAAGUUCACACCCGUUGCUCUCUACAGCUUUGCACACAAUGUUCACAUACAUCCAUCUGGUUUCCCUCUGAAUCUGUACAACUGUCAGUGUAACAUGUUAGGUCAACUUGCUCCAAAGCGUUAUGAGCUGGAGCAAGCAGUGGAACUUGAGCGUAGUGGCAAGUUUUCUGUCUGCGUGGCACACAGAUUCCCUGUGUGUAUUUAUUCAUUGAUUUAUUUGGCAUCGUGUAGAACGUUAACUGAAGAUUGUCUAAAUUUUGUUCAAAGGGGUAUGUGCAGGUUUAUUUAUGCAGGUUAAGUUUUGCAAAGGAAUUUAAAGAAUCAAGAAGUAAGAUACUGUAUAAUGAAGAAAAAAAAAACGGGGAUUAAAAAGCAUUCAGUGAGAUAAAAGCUUGCCAAGUCCAGACAAAGCACAUGACGCUGGGAAAUUGCUCCAUCGCUCAGUGUUUUUGUCUCCUGUCUUCUACAGCUAUUGUAUAAUUCUAUUACUUUUUUGGGUCACUUCUAAUUUUAUCAGUACCUUAUCUAAUGACAAUCAAUGAAUGUCAUGUUUUAUUUUUCUCUGCUACUUUGAGAAAAUCUGAAAUUCUCACAUUUAUUUAUAGAUCUGUUACAGCAUGCUCUGUAAAAGUACUUUUUAAAAGAAUCAGCUAUUCGUGUAAAUAUUCCUCUAGGAUAUUAUCAAGACAGUUGGCUCUGACACACUUGCUUUUGGCUGGGUUCUCCUCUGCAAAGCCGUGUGCUUUCUGGUGACUGUGUCGGGGUACACGUCAGGGUACAGCUGCCCUAGAAACUGUGUCCCUGGAUGGACUGCACAGAGUAAAGGCCAAGGGAGCAAACAUCGCCUACACGCCUCCGGUCAUCUACACAUAUCUGGUGAUAGCCAGCACGUGAUGCCACAGGACACAUCUACUCCGUACUGGCCCAUUUCCCCAAGUUGUCUCAGCCAGUUGCACACCGGUUUCUGCCAUUCUAACAGUCUUGUGUCCAACGUCAGCUUUUAGUCCAUCACUCUGUCCAUCUCUUUCUGUGAACCUCUGGACUAAAAGCAACAUUGCCUUCAGAGCAGCUGACAUGCAUCACCAAUGAGUACAGACAUGACAAUCAUAACAUGUACCACGUUCCAUGAAUUGAAUUCAUUUUCUUAUGCACUGCUUUGAUUUUGCUGUCAGCGCACAAAUUUGUAGUACAGCGCAAUGAAGAAGCAUUUGCCCUGAUUUCAGAACCCAGCGUUUCUGAAAUAAAACAGUUCUGCGAGGAAGAGUGGGCUGAAAUUCCUCCACGGUGAUACAAACGACUGACACUGAAUUAUAAGAAGCGUUUAGUUGCAAUCAUAGCAGCUAAAGGUGAUGCCAACAGUUAUUAAGCGUAAGGAGGCAAUUAGUUUGUAUUAGGUAACUUUGUUCACUAAAUAAAUGAAGUAAAAAAUGUAUUUGUUCAGUAAUAUGCCCUUUGUCUAAUACUGGAUUUAAUUUGAACACCUGAAAACAUUCAGUUUCAAAAAAUUUGCAAUAUCACAGGAAAUGCUUUUUCAUGACGUUGUAUAGUUGCACAUGUAAGGGAUACAUCUAAUUUGUACUUCCUGUUGCUGAUCUCUUUUGGCAUCUUCUGUUUCCACAGAUGUAAAAUCCUUGUAUUUCAUUUUUACUGUAGUCGUUUUCAGAGCACAAAAUGUCUGAGAGGUGGGAACCUCUUUGCCUGGUCACAAGAGGGAGCAGAUGCUUGACAUGCAGAUCACAAUGAACACAUUACCGAGGCACUUUUGAUUUGCCCGACUGUCCUACGCUGAAUGUGAAUGUUCCUUCUCACUGAAUCCGUUUUUUUUGUGUUGAUGAUGCUGUGUUUGGAAAAACAGUGACGGACAGGGCAAAACAUUUAUUUGAUUUUCAAAAAAACCAAUUUAUUGUUACAAAAGUAAUUUUGUAUUUUUCUUUUUCAAAAUAGAUGAUUAAUAUUUUUGUGUUUUCUAUCCUAGGCCUGUGCUUGUUUGCAGAUACACAGUUUAUCUCCUUUUGUAAAAAUAUCUCCACUGUCUCGGCUGUUAUUUCAGGCACCGCUAUGUAGUUAAUCAAAUGUACCAUCAGUUAUGAAAUUUAUUAAAUUCUCUAAAUAAAUAGAAAAUUUGCACUGCUUCCGUUAAAAAUAUUUAAAGCUCUUCUGUUUCUCAGAGUUAAAUAAAAACUUUCAGUGAACAAACCAAUUUUUUUCAGCAAUUAAAGACUUCCACUUCAAAAUAAAAGGACUAUAGUGCAAUUAUAUUAAUGCCGAAUGUUCUGUAAAGUCAGUUUCCACAAACUCCAAAAUUCAUGUGUUUGCAGAAUUCAGGCUUGUUCCAAUCUAAAUGUUUUACUGAUACCCAGGUAUAACUUUUCUCUGCUUUUCUGAAGAGGUAAAGCAAGGUAAUGAUUUGAAAGUAUAUUUUUCUACAGGUAUAUUAAGCCCCGGGUCCAAAUGUGCUUCAUUAGGCGACAAUGCAGCAUUGGUAUUUAUUGAACUGAUAGAGUGAUAUUUUUGUAAAUAGCCACACUGUAUAUAAUCUGCACACAUAUACUACUGUUGAUGAGAAGAACUCCAGUGUGUUGGAGAUACUUCUGUUGACUGAACACAUUUUGAAAUUCUUUACAUGUAAGUCUGGCAAUGCAGAGGCUGGUGUAAUAGCAUCUACUUAAAGUUAGAAAUGCACAAAUUUUCUUGGGGUCAGGUUUUGGUCCAUUGUUACUAUAAUCUGUACUUUUAUGGUUUUUGGUACGGCUUGUAUGAAAUAUUUGUUUAUUCCGAUACAGAUUAUUCUUCUUUGUCGUAGCACUUUGUGGUUACACAAUAGCUUUUCUAAUGGUAUGAUUUUAUAUUAUAGUGUUAUCACCUUUUUGUUCCACUUAAAAAAUAAAUAAAAUUGUAUUUUAUUGUCCGGAUUAGUACCAGUCCAUAUAGGGCAAUUGUUUUUAAUGCUUGGUUGAACCGAAAAGUGCAAGUCCUUAAAACUGGCCUUUGAAUGAUUUUUUUAAAAAAACUCAGACAUGCAGUUCCAUGUUUGCCUUCGGCUCAUCUAUAACUGCUAUGGGUUGCUCAACUUAUUGUGACUUGUGUGAAAGAUGUGAAUGAAUUUUCUAGAAUACGUAGGUAACUGCUGGUAAGAUCAAGUGAAAUCGAUCAUUUGAACCACUCACUGAUUGUGAUUGCCGUCAACGCAUUGAAUAGAAAAUCAAUUGAAUAAGCAAUAAAUGCCUAGACUUGUGUAUUUAGAAUACUAACUCACUGCUUAACCGCAAUAUUUAGUACUCAAAUAUUGGUAUGAAUAUUUCAGAUUCAAUUUGUUCAUUUACAUUCAUACAGGUAGCUUUUAAAUUGCUUCCGACUAUAUGACUAAUGGAAUUUUUUGACAAAUUGUGGGUACAACCCAGCUAAGCUACCCAAAAGCAUUCUAACCAAAUAAUCUGGAGGUGUUUAAUAACAGCAGUAAUUCUGAAUGCUACUUGAAUGUUAUUAUAUCCCUUUAUUUCAGAAAACAUUGACAAAUGGAUAUCUGGUAACAGGCCACACCAGUGAGAAAAUUAACAAACCAUUGUUGUUUUUGUACAAGAUAUUUUUCAAAACUUGCAACCUUAUCGCUCUCUCCUUAGGAAUGACUUAUGAAUGUGAAAGUUUCCUUGUUUUAUUUUCGUCAACACUGAACAGUCUGCUAUUUUGUGAUUUUAACAAAAAUUGUGCUCUCUGAGUUUUGUACUACCUUUUGAGAUGUAAUUAUGUUAAUUUGGCUCAAAUGUUUUUGAAUACUGACAGCAGUAGGCCCAAUAGAAUGUGAAGAACCACACUGUUCUUGGGUUUUUGAUGUUUGUUCUUAAAACAUCAGUGUUUAGAAUGACAAAAUGUAUGAAGUUAUAGAUUAAAAUCAGCAUUGUUUGGAUAUGUUUAUCCAUAGAUAUGUUAACCAUUCUAAUUGGAAUUGUCUUCAGUCAAUGUGAAGUUUGUGGAUAAUUUUGCAAUAGCGUGUGAGUGAUGUCUUCCUAUCAGAAAAAAAGUAUGAAAACAAAUACUUUCACCCUUGGUCAGUAAAAGACAUGCCUGUGUUUCUGUGCAAGUUUAUGGACUAGUUUUCCGGAUAGAGACAAAGCCUGGACUUGGAAAAAAAAUGACACUGUCUGCUGGGAUUCUCCACUGAAAAUCCUUUUUGGCCUAGGACUUGUCUUAUUUAGGAAAACUGGCUUACAUUGUUAAGUUUCAGAGAUAGGGCAAUGCAUGUUACUUGUAAAAAAAAAGAAAAAAGACAUUUAUUUUGUAUUUGAAUAUGGUAUUUGUAAUGUCUGUAAUGUAUAUAGAAUAGAAAUAAAUGAACUGAUAACUGAUAUAUAACUGAACUGAAAUAUAAUGAUUAUAAAAGACAAUUUAAAACAAUGCCUCGUCAGUAGUGAUUGUACCUUAUAAUGACUGGUGUCUCAAUAUGAACUAGCUUAGAGAGGUAAUAUUUUCAAUAAAGUGUAUAAAAUCACUAGUCUAUUACUGUAGUGGUGAGAUUUUAUUUGUAACACAUAUACAGCGCUUAACUAAGUUUUCAGCCUAAGAACUAAAAAGAACAAGUGACAUUUAUCAACAAUGGUUUUGUGCAUGUUAGCGUCAGUAGAUGAUGGAUUUUGCAUGCAAUGAGUUAUAGAUUUAGUCCCUGUGGCUGAAGUGUCUGACCUGUUAGCUGUGGAACUCCAUGAUCAUUUCCGCUCUUCCACAAAUCCCAGUAUUGAUAGAGCAAUACCACUGAUUCAUUUUCCAAAAGUAUACAUGUUUUGAUCGAUCUAAUUAUUUCCCAGUUUUUCGACAACAUACUUAGGCUGUAAUUACUGAAAUCUUUUUUUAAUAAAAAAAAAUUAGUUUUGCAGUCUGCCUCGUUUUGCUUGUUAUAAAUCAAACCUGAUAAAUGAUAACAUUUUUAGUUCUGCUAUAAUUUGGGCAUAUGUCAAAAGUUUCAAACCAGGACAGUUUUAGGAUUAACAUUUCAGCCUGUUCGAGAGACUUGAUUUUUCAUAGCACAAAAUUUAAAUGAGAAUUUGAAUGAGGUCUUGACCACAUCCAACUUGGUCAACAAUGAUGUGCUCGAGUUUUGUCUGUUUUAACAGACAGACGACACCUACACAGUAUUCAGCGUUUUAUACCAAUGUAGUGAAGUUUGGUACCCAUGAAAAUGGUGAUUAUGACUAUAAUGAUCCAUGACUGACUUCCUUUGCUUUCUGUUUGAUUCACUGAAACUGAAUCGACAAAAAGGGAAGAGGCUACAGUUGGAACCGACAUGUAAACCCUGUUUGGUUCUGCUGACCGGGUCACAUCUCUGCACAUUGCUCAUAUUGAAUUGUAUGGAAGGCUUAGCCCCCUGUCUGUCUGUCUGUCUCUGUAACAUAGCAACAGAACUGUACAGUGAAGUGUUUUCUAACAUGUUUAUUAAAAAAAAAAAUCCUGAACGAAGUUACUUGGCUUUUUCUGAUGGGCUUUGUCGUUUUCAAAAGACUUGUGAGUAUUUUGGUAAACAGGCUGUAUAUUUUGUACGAGAUUUGAAGAAAUAAAAUAUUUAUCCUUACUGUA